rnacentral:rRNA from 1 species
CCCUUAGAUGUCCUGGGCCGCACGCGCGUUACACUGAUGCAUUCAACGAGCUUAUAACCUUGGCCGAGAGGCCUGGGCAAUCUUGUUAACGUGCAUCGUGAUAGGGAUAGAUUAUUGAAAUUAUUAAUCUUGAACGAGGAAUUCCUAGUAAACGCAGAUCAUCAAUCUGCAUUGAUUACGUCCCUGCCCUUUGUACACACCGCCCGUCGCACCUACCGAUUGGAUGGUCCGGUGAAGCCUCGGGAUUGUGGUUCUUGCCGCUUUAUUGUGGCGUGACCGCGAGAACUUGUCUAAUCCUUAUCAUCUAGAGGAAGGUGAAGUCGUAACA